CAUGUGAUCUCCUCGACGAGGUCGAGGUGUUGGGGAAUGCAGCUCAAAUGGGAGGUAAAUUUCUUCUAAAGGCUAAAUACCGGCCAGAGGACCGAUAGCGGCACAAGUAGAGUGAUCGAAAGAUGAAAAGCACUUUGGGAAAGAGGAGUUAAAAAGUACGUGAAAUUGUUGAAAGGGAAGCGCUUGCAACCAGACUUGUCCGCAGUUGCUCAGCCGGUCUCCUGACCGGCGUACUCUUCUGCGGGCCAGGCCAGCAUCAGUUCGGGCGGUCGGAUAAAGGCCUCGGGAAUGUAGCUCCUCUCGGGGAGUGUUAUAGCCCGGGGUGGAAUGCGGCCAGCCUGGACUGAGGAACUCGCUUCGGCAAGGAUGCUGGCGUAAUGGUUGUAAGCGGCCCGUCUUGAAACACGGACCAAGGAGUCUAACAUCUAUGCGAGUGUUCGGGUGUCAAACCCGUACGCGUAAUGAAAGUGAACGGAGGUGGGAACCCGCAAGGGUGCACCAUCGGCCGAUCCUGAUGUCUUCGGAUGGAUUUGAGCAAGAGCAUAGCUGUUGGGACCCGAAAGAUGGUGAACUAUGCCUGAAUAGGGUGAAGCCAGAGGAAACUCUGGUGGAGGCUCGCAGCGGUUCUGACGUGCAAAUCGAUCGUCAAAUUUGGGUAUAGGGGCGAAAGACUAAUCGAACCAUUAACAUUGGUAGUUUUUGUUUUGACUACUAGGUGGUUAAGAGGCAACUAAAAGUGUUUGCCUAGUCCCUCCAUCGGGGCGACACUGUCAAAUUGUUCGGGGACGUCCUUAGAGCUUAGACUACCGCGGCCAGGCUGAAAGGUUUGGUGCAGCACCAGGUUAACGACCUCGGGUAUGGUAAUAACGUCUGAGAUUGGACAAUCCGCAGCCAAGCUCCUAAGUCCGGUAAAACGGAUACGGAGAAGGUCCACAGACUAGAUGGCAGUGCGUUCGGCCUAACGGCCGGGCGUAAGAUAUAGUCGAUCCCCUACGGAAACGUAGGCGGUAGGGCAAAGCUUUCAGGGAGAUGGGUGCCUGUCGGGGCACUCCUGGGAGCCCGAACCCUA
rnacentral:rRNA from 1 species